AGGUGAUAUGAACCGUUAUAACCGGCGAUUUCCGAAUGGGGAAACCCAGUGUGUUUCGACACACUAUCAUUAACUGAAUCCAUAGGUUAAUGAGGCGAACCGGGGGAACUGAAACAUCUAAGUACCCCGAGGAAAAGAAAUCAACCGAGAUUCCCCCAGUAGCGGCGAGCGAACGGGGAGGAGCCCAGAGCCUGAAUCAGUGUGUGUGUUAGUGGAAGCGUCUGGAAAGGCGCGCGAUACAGGGUGACAGCCCCGUACACAAAAAUGCACAUACUGUGAGCUCGAUGAGUAGGGCGGGACACGUGGUAUCCUGUCUGAAUAUGGGGGGACCAUCCUCCAAGGCUAAAUACUCCUGACUGACCGAUAGUGAACCAGUACCGUGAGGGAAAGGCGAAAAGAACCCCGGCGAGGGGAGUGAAAAAGAACCUGAAACCGUGUACGUACAAGCAGUGGGAGCCU
rnacentral:rRNA from 1 species